CCCGAAGUUCCCUAAGCGCUCUUCUUUCAUUUCAUCUUCUUCAGGUUUUUUUAUUACUACUAGUUUCUUUUAAGCAAAUCGAAUGGAAUGGAAUGAAUACAGUCAAGGGAUUCAGAUUCCACCCAACUGAUGAAGAACUCAUCGGGUUUCUACAGAUCAAAACCUCCGACCGUGAUUCCCUUGUCCAAUUAUUGAUGAAAUCCCCGACAUCUGCCGGUGGGAGCCUCGGCAAUUAGCUGAGAGUUCGAAAUUGCAGGCCGGGGAUCGAUUAUGGUCCUUCAUAUACUCACCAAAAUAUAAAUACCUCAAUAGUAAGCCGAUUAACCGAACAACCGGUGAAGGUUAUUGGAAACCUACGGGCAAUGCUCGAAAAGUUGUAGACCCUGAAUCACAAAGGGGAUUGGAACCAAGAAAACUUAGGUUUAUUACUAGGGCCAAUGUAAUGAUAACAAAAUAAAGACUUGUUGGGUCAUACACGAGUAUGAACUCAAGGCUGGCCCUAACUUAAUUGACGCUGAUCAAGUUAUGAUAAAGAUACAAAGAAGAGAGCUUUUUCUUCUUCUCAUGUUUCAUCAAAGCUAAUUGGAUUCAAGAUCAAUCUAUUAGCAACAGAAAGUAUGAUGGGUUCAUGAAUUCAAUUCUUGUUGAUGAUGAUGAUAUGCUUACCUCCAACAAGAAAACAGACAGCAGUGCUUGCCUGCUGAAAGUGAAGCCUUUGACUUGCCUUGCAUAGAUGCAAUCAAAUCAUCCGAUUCGAUAGAGAAUCCUAGGAAAAGACCGCGUCUUCCUCAUGACGGCAACGUAGAAAUAGCAGAGGCUCAAGUUUGCAG